rnacentral:rRNA from 1 species
GACGACGCUGGCGGCGUGCCUAACACAUGCAAGUCUAGGAGAAUAAGCGCUUUCGGGUGCUUUAGUAAACUGGCGAACGGGUGAGUACCACGUAGGUAACCUGCCCUUGGAUUGGGGAUAACACUGCUAACGCGGUGCUAAUACCGAAUAACGCAACGAGGUUUCAUGAUCUUGUUGUUAAAGCUGGCCUCUAUUUAUAAGCUAGCGUCUGAGGAUGGACCUGCGUCCCAUUAGUUAGUUGGCGGGGUAACGGCCCACCAAGACCGCGAUGGGUAGCCGGCCUGAGAGGGUGACCGGCCACACUGGGACUGAGAUACGGCCCAGACUCCUACGGGAGGCAGCAGUGAGGAAUAUUGCGCAAUGGCCGAAAGGCUGACGCAGCAACGCCGCGUGAGGGAUGAAGUUCUUCGGAAUGUAAACCUCUGUUAGAGGGGACGAAUGAGAGAGAGACCAAUAGACUCUCUCUUUGACGGUACCUUCAGAGAAAGCCCCGGCUAACUCCGUG